rnacentral:rRNA from 1 species
ACGAACGCUGGCGGCGUGCCUAAUACAUGCAAGUAGAACGCUGAAGAGAGGAGCUUGCUCUUCUUGGAUGAGUUGCGAACGGGUGAGUAACGCGUAGGUAACCUGCCUUGUAGCGGGGGAUAACUAUUGGAAACGAUAGCUAAUACCGCAUAACAAUGGAUGACCCAUGUCAUUUAUUUGAAAGGGGCAAAUGCUCCACUACAAGAUGGACCUGCGUUGUAUUAGCUAGUAGGUGAGGUAACGGCUCACCUAGGCGACGAUACAUAGCCGACCUGAGAGGGUGAUCGGCCACACUGGGACUGAGACACGGCCCAGACUCCUACGGGAGGCAGCAGUAGGGAAUCUUCGGCAAUGGGGGCAACCCUGACCGAGCAACGCCGCGUGAGUGAAGAAGGUUUACGGAUCGUAAAGCUCUGUUGUAAGUCAAGAACGAGUGUGAGAGUGGAAAGUUCACACUGUGACGGUAGCUUACCAGAAAGGGACGGCUAACUACGUG